rnacentral:lncRNA from 1 species
AGUUCUCAACGAGAGUCGAAGUGAUCUGAUUAUCUAUGUGGUGAUGAUAAAAGUUGAGCUUGAUUUGGUUUUGCUGUCAUCGACUUGAUUUGAAUUUGUGUUAUAUUUAUAAAAGUAAAUAUGUUAUAGGUUUAAAGCUGAGCUUUAAAACGGUGGGCCUAAUUUGCCAAAGCAGCACAACUUUUGUUUCUCUAGCAUUUCCUAUUUUUUUCUUUAUGCUCUUUGAAUAUGGACCAACAAAAUUUACAGCUAUAAAACGUGAGUUUAUCUUCAAGAGUCUAUAAAAACUGAAGAUUGUAAAAUACUAAAUAAAUGUAACAAUAUUGUUUUUAAACAUAUAUAGUAUUAGCUAUAACAUAUCACAUAAAUAUUUGUCGGAUAAAAAAACUGACACGAAAAGUGUAUACAAAAAAAUUCAAAAUGAUACGAAACUAAAACUCAAAAUAAUAAAAUCCAAACCAAAUCCAAUUCAUAAAUAACUGAACUAUUAUUAUUUUUUGAAUCAAAAUCAAAACCCACAA